AUUGAACGCUGGCGGCAUGCUUUACACAUGCAAGUCGAACGGCAGCGGGGGCUUCGGCCUGCCGGCGAGUGGCGAACGGGUGAGUAAUGCAUCGGAACGUACCCAGUCAUGGGGGAUAACUACGCGAAAGCGUAGCUAAUACCGCAUACGCCCUGAGGGGGAAAGCGGGGGAUCGCAAGACCUCGCGUGAUUGGAGCGGCCGAUGUCGGAUUAGCUAGUUGGUGGGGUAAAGGCCUACCAAGGCGACGAUCCGUAGCGGGUCUGAGAGGAUGAUCCGCCACACUGGGACUGAGACACGGCCCAGACUCCUACGGGAGGCAGCAGUGGGGGAUUUUGGACAAUGGGGGCAACCCUGAUCCAGCCAUGCCGCGUGAGUGAAGAAGGCCU
rnacentral:rRNA from 1 species